GUAGCUGCAAGGGCGUUCAAGGGAACGGACAAUAUACGCCGACUUCGCUCUGUUUCGAGCAUUUGCUGCGUGUCUUCGUAAGCUAAUAAACCUCGUCGCCCGGAGCAGCAUUACGACGACUAAGGAUCUAUAAAAUCGUCUCUCUUCUCGUCUUCGGAUAGAUUCAGUGGUGGACAACUAUGGAGAAGAAAUUCGCCGCUCCGUUUGUCCUGGCACUGAUAGCCAUCGGUAUUCUGGCAAGCCUUACAACGGAGAACGGGGGAGCAUUGGCGGACGGUGGCUCUGAAAGUACUAGUGACGACACCGACUACCGAACCCCAGAGCGCCCUAAUGUGACUCCCUCAAGCAGCCGCUAGGUGCUUCGUCGACAGCUUUCCGUGACGAAGUGGAGAGUCCCAAGCUGGGAGAGGUUGCGGUUGCUUGCGCCGCGAUCAUUCUGAUGCGCUAAUAAACUGUGAAAGAAGCUCUC